GGGAGGAGCAGCAGCGCCUGCGGGCAGCCCUGGCCGCCAGCCAGAGGGCACUGAGGUCCUUCCAGAGAGUGUCCCAGAUUGUCACCCAGGAUUACUGCCAGGCCCUGGAGCAGCUGGAGCUGGAGCAGGACCUGCGCUGCCACGCCGAGGCCUUCGCCCACCAGAUGCUGGUCCAGCAGAAGGAGGCGAAGCGCCAGAGCUCCAUCCUGCUGAGGAGCGCCGCG